rnacentral:rRNA from 1 species
UACGUAGGUGGCAAGCGUUGUCCGGAAUUAUUGGGCGUAAAGCGCGCGCAGGCGGCCCUCUUAAGUCUGAUGUGAAAGCCCCCGGCUCAACCGGGGAGGGCCAUUGGAAACUGGGAGGCUUGAGUAUAGGAGAGAAGAGUGGAAUUCCACGUGUAGCGGUGAAAUGCGUAGAGAGUGUGGAGGAACACCAGUGGCGAAGGCGACUCUUUGGCCUAUAACUGACGCUGAGGCGCGAAAGCGUGGGGAGCAAACAGG